CAGUGGCGGUGGGGGCAUGAAACACCAUGCCAGUGAACUUCCCACUCGCCUCGGGGUCGACUUUGGCCUCGGCUGUGGCCAGCGACUACAGGGGUGAGCAUGGGAGCCUUGUGUCCGAGGUAGCAGCAGUGGUGCUGAAUGUGGUCACGAGUCCCUCCACCUUGCCAAGUAUGUCCUGGAUGACCUCGGCCAGGGAGUGGACAGCGUCAUGUGCUGUCCAGAUCCUCCUUCACGGAAGGCCUUCUUGUCUGUGCUAGGGCUGCAGUCAUCAGGCAACCCUCAGCUGUCUGCCCCUUCGGGAUGCCUUAGCUACAGAGCGCCGCCUUGCCCGAUGUCACACCCUUGCCCGGGUGCCCACAUCCAGUGACUGGUCUGCACCGAGGUACAAAGGGCUGGCCAUCUUGGUCCCAAUUCGGGGACAAACUAGCUCUAGGGGUUACAGUGGGGUUGCCACAGGCUGUUUGGGGGCCCUCGUCACAGCUAGACAUUUCCCUCUGUCCGAUCCUCAUUCCUUCUCCAUCCUUCCAUAGGCAUAGAUACCAAGAGAACUCUUUAAUAUAAGUUCUGUUCAUUACAUUCUAUUUCAGAGUCCGCUUGCCCCGGGGAAAGCAGUCUAUAGUGUUGGGCCCGGGUGCGGUAGGAGAUCACAGGUGCUGACCUGGGGUGCGGGGGCUGGAUCACCCACUGCCCGGUUGGCCGUGGUCACUGACGGGAAUCGGUGGCAGUAGGUGGAACAGAGAAACCCCUGGUUCAAAGAGAGGGGGCUUCCAGCGUUCGCAUUUGCAGCAGAGAAGACUGAUCAUGUUGCAAUUUCCUUGGAUGAUGAGGUGUUGGUCAGAGGUUGUCCCAUAUCCACCGUGGGAAACUUUGCCAGAGGCGUGACCCAGAGGUGACGCAGGUCAGUUUGGUCUCACAAAGUGGGCUGAAUGGACCUUUGUUUGUGUGGCUGGACUGGUUCCGUCUGCUCGGGGAAUUUUGAGAGCUGGUGUCCGUUUGUCAUUGAUUGUCACAGACCCUCGCUGAACUGUCCCCUCUUUAUGUUCCCUGCCCAUCAAUACAACCUACCCAAACCUGCGACCCUACUCGCCUGCAGCUUGCUUGUCCUGAAUUGCAAUCCCUCUGCUAUUCCUGAAUAAACUUACCCAUUUUGAGCUUG